rnacentral:rRNA from 1 species
UCUUAGUGGCGGACGGGUGAGUAACGCGUGGGUAACCUGCCUUGCACAGGGGGAUAACACCUGGAAACAGGUGCUAAUACCGCAUAAGCGCACAGGGCCGCAUGGCCCGGUGUGAAAAACUCCGGUGGUGUAAGAUGGACCCGCGUCUGAUUAGCUUGUUGGCGGGGUAGGGGCCCACCAAGGCGACGAUCAGUAGCCGGCCUGAGAGGGUGGACGGCCACAUUGGGACUGAGACACGGCCCAAACUCCUACGGGAGGCAGCAG